rnacentral:rRNA from 1 species
CCUACGGGUGGCAGCAGUGAGGAAUAUUGGUCAAUGGACGAGAGUCUGAACCAGCCAAGUAGCGUGAAGGAUGACUGCCCUAUGGGUUGUAAACUUCUUUUAUAAAGGAAUAAAACGAGGCACGUGUGCCUUUUUGCAUGUACUUUAUGAAUAAGAAUCGGCUAACUCCGUGCCAGCAGCCGCGGUAAUACGGAGGAUGCGAGCGUUAUCCGGAUUUAUUGGGUUUAAAGGGAGCGUAGAUGGGUUGUUAAGUCAGUUGUGAAAGUUUGCGGCUCAACCGUAAAAUUGCAAUUGAUACUGGCAGUCGUGAGUACAGUUGAGGUAGGCGGAAUGCGUGGUGUAGCGGUGAAAUGCUUAGAUAUCACGAAGAACCCCGAUUGCGAAGGCAGCUUACUAAACUGUGACUGACAUUGAUGCUCGAAAGUGUGGGUAUCAAACAGGAUUAGAUACCCUUGUAGUC